ACACAAGGUGAAUGUUUUUCUAUUUUUCUCCCUCUCUGGGUGGUUGGGGGGAUUUUCCAGCUUCUCUGUAGACUUCAUGAACUCGUGCUUAGAGAAUUGGGAUUCAGUGAUAUCUUCAAAAAAGUCAAGGAUGUAGAAAAUGCAAAAACCAUCUCACUGUUUGAGAAUGUUGUUCAUCUUAAUGAUGCCAUUGAAGAUGAAAGCAAGCGACUUGAGAAUCUAGUUAGAGGAAUUUUUGCUGGAAACAUAUUUGAUCUUGGUUCUGCACAGCUUGCAGAGGUUUUCUCUAAGGAUGGAAUGUCCUUUUUGGCUAGUUGUCAAAAUCUCGUUCCUCGACCUUGUGUCAUUCAUGAUCUUGACACUUUCAAAUUGAAAUGGAGCAAGAACCCAUGGAAGAAGGCAACUUUAACAUGUUAUCAUAUUUUUUGAUAACUCUGGUGCAGAUAUCAUUUUGGGUAUUAUGCCAUUUGCAAGAGAAGUACUUCGGCCUAGGAGUCAGGUUGUAUUGGCUGCUAACGACUUACCAUCCAUCAAUGAUGUGACUUGUUCUGAGCUAGUUGAAAUUAUAUCAAAGAAGCAAACCGUCAGUUACAUUGACGAAUUUACUGUGUCCGUACACGUGGCCUAGAGUCGCCAACCCCAUUGGCAAUUUCGCCAUGCAUGGGGAGUAGCCAGUCAAACUGGCGAGUUCCAAGCACAGGAGGCAUAGGCUCUCAGCCUUUCAGGCUUUUCAGUUGGCAAGCGCUUUUUCAGUUGACAGGCUAAAGGGAAGUAGCCUCUGGCAUUGACGAGUUAGGCUAAAUUGGAGUAGCCACUGGCAUUGGCGAGUUAGGUAAAUGGAAAUAGUCAGUGGCUUUGGCGAUUUAGGGUCUUUAUAUACGUCCAGCGUCUCCAAAAUUGCUUUAGUGUGUGUGUUGAAAACUAGAUUUCAGUAUUUUCAAAACUUCUUACGGUCAAAAUUUGCUUCUUGAGGUUUAAAUUUGUCAGCCAUAAGGUUCGAAAUUUGCUUGUUGAGAUUUAAAUUUGUCAGUCAUAAGGUUUGAAAUUUCCAGUCAAACAAUUUGUGGCAUCAAUUUUUUUUUUUGAAGUAAUUUUUUAGAUCAGAAUAAGUUUGAAUGUGAAGUUU